CGGGUGAGUAAUGUAUCGGAACGUACCAUUCAGUGGGGGAUAACGUAGCGAAAGUUACGCUAAUACCGCAUAUUCUGUGCGCAGGAAAGCAGGGGAUCGCAAGACCUUGCGCUGAUUGAGCGGCCGAUAUCAGAUUAGCUAGUUGGUGGGGUAAAAGCUCACCAAGGCGACGAUCUGUAGCGGGUCUGAGAGGAUGAUCCGCCACACUGGAACUGAGACACGGUCCAGACUCCUACGGGAGGCAGCAGUGGGGAAUUUUGGACAAUGGGGGCAACCCUGAUCCAGCCAUGCCGCGUGAGUGAAGAAGGCCUUCGGGUUGUAAAGCUCUUUCGGCCGGGAAAAAAUCGCAUGGGUUAAUACCCUGUGUGGAUGAUGGUACCGGAAUAAGAAGCACCGGCUAACUACGUGCCAGCAGCCGCGGUAAUACGUAGGGUGCGAGCGUUAAUCGGAAUUACUGGGCGUAAAGCGUGCGCAGGCGGUUUUGUAAGACAGGCGUGAAAUCCCCGGGCUCAACCUGGGAACUGCGCUUGUGACUGCAAGGCUAGAGUAUGGCAGAGGGGGGUGGAAUUCCACGUGUAGCAGUGAAAUGCGUAGAGAUGUGGAGGAACACCAAUGGCGAAGGCAGCCCCCUGGGCCAAUACUGACGCUCAUGCACGAAAGCGUGGGUAGCAAACAGGAUUAGAUACCCUGGUAGUCCACGCCCUAAACGAUGUCAACUAGGUGUUGGGAGGGUAAAACCUUUUAGUACCGGAGCUAACGCGUGAAGUUGACCGCCUGGGGAGUACGGCCGCAAGGUUAAAACUCAAAGGAAUUGACGGGGACCCGCACAGGCGGUGGAUGAUGUGGAUUAAUUCGAUGCAACGCGAAAAACCUUACCUACCCUUGACAUGUCCAGGAGCCUGAAGAGAUUUGGGUGUGCCCGAAAGGGAACUGGAACACAGGUGCUGCAUGGCUGUCGUCAGCUCGUGUCGUGAGAUGUUGGGUUAAGUCCCGCAACGAGCGCAACCCUCGUCGUUAAUUGCCAUCAUUCAGUUGGGCACUUUAACGAGACUGCCGGUGACAAACCGGAGGAAGGUGGGGAUGACGUCAAGUCCUCAUGGCCCUUAUGGGUAGGGCUUCACACGUCAUACAAUGGUCGGUACAAAGGGUUGCCAACCCGCGAGGGGGAGCCAAUCCCAGAAAGCCGAUCGUAGUCCGGAUUGCAGGCUGCAACUCGCCUGCAUGAAGUCGGAAUCGCUAGUAAUCGUGGAUCAGCAUGUCACGGUGAAUACGUUCCCGGGUCUUGUACACACCGCCCGUCACACCAUGGGAGCGGGUUCCGCCAGAAGUAGGUAGCCUAACCGCAAGGGGGGCGCUUACCACGGCGGGGUUCGUGACUGGGGUGAAGUCGUAACAAGGUA
rnacentral:rRNA from 1 species